rnacentral:lncRNA from 1 species
UCAAACCAAUUGGUUAACGGGGGUACCCGGUACUUGAUUUUUACAGUAUCACAAUAUUGUGGUGAAAAAUACCAUGUUUUGACAACAAAUCAGCAUGGUGGGACUUAUCAUGCGCAUGGUUAUAAUGAGAACAAAUAGUAAUAUUUGUAGUCAUUUUCCAUUCUGAAUGAAACUGAACACGUUUUUUUUACUUCCACAAAUCAAACACGUCUAUUCACAGUUAAACAAACCAACAAACUGAAUUUACAUUUGUAAAAUCUAUGGGUACUACGAUCACGAUUUCUUUUGCGCUUCUACUUCCUCUCCUCUCUUUUCCUAAUUACUCCUAGUUACCAUCUUAACCCUUACGUUCCCUACAAUAUUAUUUUGUUUUAGGUGAUGAUCGCAAAAUGAAAAGCUUGAUGCAAGGGGCAAUACAGUGUUCAAAGCAGAGUGAAUCUGGAGCAGUUCAGAGUAACUCUGAGCAACUCUGAGGAAUUUGCGGUUCGAAAUUCCCACCUUUGAAUCAUCUUGAUUUUGGCAAAGCGGUUCGAAAAAAAAGAAUAACAGACCAAACUCAGUUUGACAUAUCGAAACAGCGAUAAAUAAUGAAGAUGAAAGGUUUUGAAGUAAUUAUUGAUUGUAAAGAAAAAUUUCUAAGCCACAUACAGCAAUGGAUUCAGUGUGAAAAACAUGUUAUUUGCAACUAUCAAACGGUUAUCCUGCCGCAUCUACGCCUACGCGGUGACAAGCCUGAAGAUUAAAUCCAGCAAGGACAAUAUUCGCCCGAAAAAGACACAAGACCGAUCCUCAUGAAGGACAAAACUGCAAAUAAGAUGAAUUUCCAGUGCCGGGAAGAAAAAUGUAUGUUCGAAGGCGAAUGGGGCCGUUCACAAUCCGGGCUAGAAGCAGGAACUACUUCCUGUCGGAGACUUAAUUCAGUUUCGAUGUCGAGUCUGUAUUUGAAUAUUCCGUAUUUAUACCGAGAAUAAAACGUAAAUUGAAACAGUU